rnacentral:rRNA from 1 species
GAUGAACGCUGGCGGCGUGCUUAACACAUGCAAGUCGAACGAAGCACUCUAUUUGAUUUUCUUCGGAAAUGAAGAUUUUGUGACUGAGUGGCGGACGGGUGAGUAACGCGUGGGUAACCUGCCUCAUACAGGGGGAUAACAGUUGGAAACGACUGCUAAUACCGCAUAAGCGCACAGGAUCGCAUGAUCCGGUGUGAAAAACUCCGGUGGUAUGAGAUGGACCCGCGUCUGAUUAGCCAGUUGGCAGGGUAACGGCCUACCAAAGCGACGAUCAGUAGCCGACCUGAGAGGGUGACCGGCCACAUUGGGACUGAGACACGGCCCAAACUCCUACGGGAGGCAGCAGUGGGGAAUAUUGCACAAUGGGGGAAACCCUGAUGCAGCGACGCCGCGUGAGCGAAGAAGUAUUUCGGUAUGUAAAGCUCUAUCAGCAGGGAAGAAGAAUGACGGUACCUGACUAAGAAGCACCGGCUAAAUACGUGCCAGCAGCCGCGGUAAUACGUAUGGUGCAAGCGUUAUCCGGAUUUACUGGGUGUAAAGGGAGCGCAGGCGGUGCGGCAAGUCUGAUGUGAAAGCCCGGGGCUCAACCCCGGUACUGCAUUGGAAACUGUCGUACUAGAGUGUCGGAGGGGUAAGUGGAAUUCCUAGUGUAGCGGUGAAAUGCGUAGAUAUUAGGAGGAACACCAGUGGCGAAGGCGGCUUACUGGACGAUAACUGACGCUGAGGCUCGAAAGCGUGGGGAGCAAACAGGAUGAGAUACCCUGGUAGUCCACGCCGUAAACG